rnacentral:rRNA from 1 species
CUUCCGUAGGGUGAACCUGCGGAAGGAUCAUUAUUGAAAUAAACCUGAUGAGUUGUUGCUGGUUCUCUAGAGAGCAUUGUGCACGCUUGUCAUCUUUAUGUCUCCACCUGUGCACAUUUUGUAGACCUGGAUCACUCUCUGAAAUGCUAACCAGCAUUUUAGGUUGGAGGAAUUUGACUUUGUUGUCUUUCCUUGCAUUUCUAGGUCUAUGUUCUUUUUCAUAUAAUCUUAUUGUGAUAUAAUGGACCCUAUAUAAAUAUAAACCUAUACAACUUUCAGCAACGGAUCUCUUGGCUCUCGCAUCGAUGAAGAACGCAGCGAAAUGCGAUAAGUAAUGUGAAUUGCAGAAUUCAGUGAAUCAUCGAAUCUUUGAACGCACCUUGCGCUCCUUGGUAUUCCGAGGAGCAUGCCUGUUUGAGUGUCAUUAAUAUAUCAACCUCUUCAAAUUUUGAGAGUGUUUGGAUGUGGGGGUGUUAUUUUGCUGGCCUCCUCCAAGGUCAGCUCCCCUGAAAUGUAUUAGCGGAACAAUUUGUUGACCGUUCAUUGGUGUGAUAGCAUAUCAUACGCUAUUGACGUGAAGCAAGUUCAGCUUAUAACAGUCCAUUGACUUGGACAAUUCUCUAUUUAUUAAUGUGACCUCAAAUCAGUAGACACCUCAAUC